rnacentral:rRNA from 1 species
CCUACGGGAGGCAGCAGCCGCGGUAAUACGUAGGGGGCAAGCGUUAUCCGGAAUUAUUGGGCGUAAAGAGUACGUAGGUGGUUUUGUAAGCGCGGGGUGAAAGGCAGUGGCUUAACCAUUGUAAGCCUUGCGAACUGCAAGACUUGAGUGCAGGAGAGGAAAGCGGAAUUCCUAGUGUAGCGGUGAAAUGCUUAGAUAUUAGGAGGAACACCAGUGGCGAAGGCGGCUUUCUGGACUGUAACUGACACUGAGGUACGAAAGCGUGGGGAGCAAACAGGAUUAGAAACCCGGGUAGUCCAAGAUCG